UACGAAGGGGGCUAGCGUUGCUCGGAAUCACUGGGCGUAAAGCGCACGUAGGCGGCUUUUUAAGUCAGGGGUGAAAUCCUGGAGCUCAACUCCAGAACUGCCUUUGAUACUGAGAAGCUUGAGUCCGGGAGAGGUGAGUGGAACUGCGAGUGUAGAGGUGAAAUUCGUAGAUAUUCGCAAGAACACCAGUGGCGAAGGCGGCUCACUGGCCCGGUACUGACGCUGAGGUGCGAAAGCGUGGGGAGCAAACAGA
rnacentral:rRNA from 1 species